rnacentral:rRNA from 1 species
GACGAACGCUGGCGGCGUGCCUAAUACAUGCAAGUAGAACGCUGAAACUUGGUGCUUGCACCGAGCGGAUGAGUUGCGAACGGGUGAGUAACGCGUAGGUAACCUGCCUGGUAGCGGGGGAUAACUAUUGGAAACGAUAGCUAAUACCGCAUAAGAGUAGAUGUUGCAUGACAUUUGCUUAAAAGGUGCAAUUGCACCACUACCAGAUGGACCUGCGUUGUAUUAGCUAGUUGGUGGGGUAACGGCUCACCAAGGCGACGAUACAUAGCCGACCUGAGAGGGUGAUCGGCCACACUGGGACUGAGACACGGCCCAGACUCCUACGGGAGGCAGCAGUAGGGAAUCUUCGGCAAUGGACGGAAGUCUGACCGAGCAACGCCGCGUGAGUGAAGAAGGUUUUCGGAUCGUAAAGCUCUGUUGUAAGAGAAGAACGAGUGUGAGAGUGGAAAGUUCACACUGUGACUGUAUCUUACCAGAAAGGGACGGCUAACUACGUG